rnacentral:rRNA from 1 species
AGUGAACGCUGGCGGUAGGCCUAACACAUGCAAGUCGAACGGCAGCACAGUAAGAGCUUGCUCUUACGGGUGGCGAGUGGCGGAUGGGUGAGGAAUACAUCGGACUCUACUUUUUCGUGGGGGAUAACGUAGGGAAACUUACGCUGAUACCGCCUACGACCUACGGGUGAAAGCAGGGGAUCUUCGGACCUUGCGCGAUUGAAUGAGCCGAUGUCGGAUUGGCUAGUUGGCGGGGUAAAGGCCCAGCAAGGCGACGAUCCGUAGCUGGUGUGAGAGGAUGAUCAGCCACACUGGAGCUGAGACACGGUCCAGACUCCUACGGGAGGCAGCGGUGGGGAAGAUUGGACGAUGGGCGCAAGCCUGAUCCAGCCAUACCGCGUGGAUGAAGAAGGCCUUCGGGCUGUAAAGCCCUUUUGUUGGGAAAGAAAAGCAGCAGGUUAAUACCCCGCUGUUCCGACGGUACCCAAAGAAUAAGCACCGGCUAACUUCGUG